GUAGGGAAUAUUGGGCAAUGGAUGCAAGUCUGACCCAGCCAUCCCGCGUGCCGGAAGAAGGCCCUCAGGGUUGUAAACGGCUUUUGACGGUGAAGAAUCGACAGGAUGCGUCCUGUUUUGACGGUAGCCGUUGAAUAAGCACCGGCUAACUCUGUGCCAGCAGCCGCGGUAAUACAGAGGGUGCGAGCGUUGUCCGGAUUUAUUGGGUUUAAAGGGUGCGUAGGCUGGAAGGUCAGUCAGCGGUGAAAAGCUAUCGCUUAACGAUAGUCUUGCCGCAGAUACUUCCUUUCUUGGAUGAGGAGGAGGCCACUGGAACGGAUGGUGUAGCGGUGAAAUGCAUAGAUAUCAUCCAGAACACCGAUUGCGAAGGCAGGUGGCUGUACCUUAAUCGACGCUGAUGCACGAAAGCAUGGGGAGCAAACAGGAUUAGAAACCCGAGUAGUCC
rnacentral:rRNA from 1 species